GAGUGAGUGAGUGAAUGGGCAUAUAUAUAGGAAGAUGUCACUGAGCAAUAAGCUAAAUUUAUUAUUUGAUUAUUUUAGAUGAUAAUAUAAUAUAAUG